CGGACGGGUGAGUAAUGUCUGGGAAACUGCCUGAUGGAGGGGGAUAACUACUGGAAACGGUAGCUAAUACCGCAUAACGUCGCAAGACCAAAGAGGGGGACCUUAGGGCCUCUUGCCAUCGGAUGUGCCCAGAUGGGAUUAGCUAGUAGGUGGGGUAACGGCUCACUAGGCGACGAUCCCUAGCUGGUCUGAGAGGAUGACCAGCCACACUGGAACUGAGACACGGUCCAG
rnacentral:rRNA from 1 species